CGGGACACGUGGUAUCCUGUCUGAAUAUGGGGGGACCAUCCUCCAAGGCUAAAUACUCCUGACUGACCGAUAGUGAACCAGUACCGUGAGGGAAAGGCGAAAAGAACCCCGGCGAGGGGAGUGAAAAAGAACCUGAAACCGUGUACGUACAAGCAGUGGGAGCACAGAGCAAUCUGUGUGACUGCGUACCUUUUGUAUAAUGGGUCAGCGACUUAUAUUCUGUAGCAAGGUUAACCGAAUAGGGGAGCCGAAGGGAAACCGAGUCUUAACCGGGCGUUAAGUUGCAGGGUAUAGACCCGAAACCCGGUGAUCUAGCCAUGGGCAGGUUGAAGGUUGGGUAACACUAACUGGAGGACCGAACCGACUAAUGUUGAAAAAUUAGCGGAUGACUUGUGGCUGGGGGUGAAAGGCCAAUCAAACCGGGAGAUAGCUGGUUCUCCCCGAAAGCUAUUUAGGUAGCGCCUCGUGAAUUCAUCUCCGGGGGUAGAGCACUGUUUCGGCAAGGGGGUCAUCCCGACUUACCAACCCGAUGCAAACUGCGAAUACCGGAGAAUGUUAUCACGGGAGACACACGGCGGGUGCUAACGUCCGUCGUGAAGAGGGAAACAACCCAGACCGCCAGCUAAGGUCCCAAAGUCAUGGUUAAGUGGGAAACGAUGUGGGAAGGCCCAGACAGCCAGGAUGUUGGCUUAGAAGCAGCCAUCAUUUAAAGAAAGCGUAAUAGCUCACUGGUCGAGUCGGCCUGCGCGGAAGAUGUAACGGGGCUAAACCAUGCACCGAAGCUGCGGCAGCGACACUGUGUGUUGUUGGGUAGGGGAGCGUUCUGUAAGCCUGUGAAGGUGUGCUGUGAGGCAUGCUGGAGGUAUCAGAAGUGCGAAUGCUGACAUAAGUAACGAUAAAGCGGGUGAAAAGCCCGCUCGCCGGAAGACCAAGGGUUCCUGUCCAACGUUAAUCGGGGCAGGGUGAGUCGACCCCUAAGGCGAGGCCGAAAGGCGUAGUCGAUGGGAAACAGGUUAAUAUUCCUGUACUUGGUGUUACUGCGAAGGGGGGACGGAGAAGGCUAUGUUGGCCGGGCGACGGUUGUCCCGGUUUAAGCGUGUAGGCUGGUUUUCCAGGCAAAUCCGGAAAAUCAAGGCUGAGGCGUGAUGACGAGGCACUACGGUGCUGAAGCAACAAAUGCCCUGCUUCCAGGAAAAGCCUCUAAGCAUCAGGUAACAUCAAAUCGUACCCCAAACCGACACAGGUGGUCAGGUAGAGAAUACCAAGGCGCUUGAGAGAACUCGGGUGAAGGAACUAGGCAAAAUGGUGCCGUAACUUCGGGAGAAGGCACGCUGAUAUGUAGGUGAAGUCCCUCGCGGAUGGAGCUGAAAUCAGUCGAAGAUACCAGCUGGCUGCAACUGUUUAUUAAAAACACAGCACUGUGCAAACACGAAAGUGGACGUAUACGGUGUGACGCCUGCCCGGUGCCGGAAGGUUAAUUGAUGGGGUCAGCGCAAGCGAAGCUCUUGAUCGAAGCCCCGGUAAACGGCGGCCGUAACUAUAACGGUCCUAAGGUAGCGAAAUUCCUUGUCGGGUAAGUUCCGACCUGCACGAAUGGCGUAAUGAUGGCCAGGCUGUCUCCACCCGAGACUCAGUGAAAUUGAACUCGCUGUGAAGAUGCAGUGUACCCGCGGCAAGACGGAAAGACCCCGUGAACCUUUACUAUAGCUUGACACUGAACAUUGAGCCUUGAUGUGUAGGAUAGGUGGGAGGCUUUGAAGUGUGGACGCCAGUCUGCAUGGAGCCGACCUUGAAAUACCACCCUUUAAUGUUUGAUGUUCUAACGUGGACCCGUGAUCCGGGUUGCGGACAGUGUCUGGUGGGUAGUUUGACUGGGGCGGUCUCCUCCUAAAGAGUAACGGAGGAGCACGAAGGUUGGCUAAUCCUGGUCGGACAUCAGGAGGUUAGUGCAAUGGCAUAAGCCAGCUUGACUGCGAGCGUGACGGCGCGAGCAGGUGCGAAAGCAGGUCAUAGUGAUCCGGUGGUUCUGAAUGGAAGGGCCAUCGCUCAACGGAUAAAAGGUACUCCGGGGAUAACAGGCUGAUACCGCCCAAGAGUUCAUAUCGACGGCGGUGUUUGGCACCUCGAUGUCGGCUCAUCACAUCCUGGGGCUGAAGUAGGUCCCAAGGGUAUGGCUGUUCGCCAUUUAAAGUGGUACGCGAGCUGGGUUUAGAACGUCGUGAGACAGUUCGGUCCCUAUCUGCCGUGGGCGCUGGAGAACUGAGGGGGGCUGCUCCUAGUACGAGAGGACCGGAGUGGACGCAUCACUGGUGUUCGGGUUGUCAUGCCAAUGGCACUGCCCGGUAGCUAAAUGCGGAAGAGAUAAGUGCUGAAAGCAUCUAAGCACGAAACUUGCCCCGAGAUGAGUUCUCCCUGACCCUUUAAGGGUCCUGAAGGAACGUUGAAGACGACGACGUUGAUAGGCCGGGUGUGUAAGCGCAGCGAUGCGUUGAGCUAACCGGUACUAAUGAACCGUGAGGCUUAACCUUACAACGCCGAAGGUGUUU
rnacentral:rRNA from 1 species